GGUAAGGAGGAUCUGCGACAAUGAUACUGAAUGACUGCUUCAUUGACGAUGGGAGCUCUAAUGAUACCUUGAGAUAAACGUAGAGAGUAGGGCAAGCAAUACAUGCAACAGAAGGUGGAUCCUCCAUGGAAGUAUACAGUGCGUGAACUUCUCUCGCAACUGUCUCCGCCGUUUCACGGUCGUACCAAAACUGGCUGAGCCGCCAGUCCUCCGUCACUAACGCCACCUCUUUCUCCUCCGCCGCCGUAGCUCCGUCGUUGUCUGCGGCGACUGAGCGGUUCUGUUCCGAGAGGAACUCUUUGAGAGCUUCUAGAGCAUGCGCACUCAGCGUCGGAGUGUCGUCGUCAUUGGCGCUGGCGCCGGCACCGGCACCGGCGACGGCGUUGUGAUUGGUCUCGUCUUCCAUUUUGCUAGGGUUUGCUGAAUUGGAGUCGUCGAACAGAGUAGUUUACUCGCUUUCAAAGGCUGUUUGA
rnacentral:lncRNA from 1 species